GUAGGUGGCAAGCGUUGUCCGGAAUUAUUGGGCGUAAAGCGCGCGCAGGCGGUCCUUUAAGUCUGAUGUGAAAGCCCACGGCUCAACCGUGGAGGGUCAUUGGAAACUGGGGGACUUGAGUACAGAAGAGGAAAGCGGAAUUCCAAGUGUAGCGGUGAAAUGCGUAGAGAUUUGGAGGAACACCAGUGGCGAAGGCGGCUUUCUGGUCUGUAACUGACGCUGAGGCGCGAAAGCGUGGGGAGCAAACAGGGAUUAGAUACCCUGGUAGUCCAGCCGUAAACGAUGAGUGCUAAGUGUUAGGGGGGUUUCCCGCCCCUUAGUGCUGCAGCUAACGCAUUAAGCACUCCGCCUGGGGAGUACGGCCGCAAGGCUG
rnacentral:rRNA from 1 species